rnacentral:misc_RNA from 1 species
UAUCAGUCACAGUGAAUGGCCAAGAGGAGACACACUACCGCCACCUAUCGCCAUUUUAAGAACUUCUUUAUAGAAUUAGUACAAUCACAACAGCUCCCAUCAGUGUUUGUGAACCUGGGUACAGUUAUAACUCUCGUGGUGUGACCAAACAAUAUGUGUACAGGAUGUUCAGUGAAUCUUUUCCAAUUAUUUGAGAUUGUCUCUGAUGAAAAGAAAGUUAGAGACUAUUUGUUUGACCACCAUCUUCUGACAAAGACUGUUAACUGUACAAGCUGUGGUUCUGUAAUUGAACUGAAUAGUAAAUAUCAAUUUCGAUGCAACAAAGUAGUGCGGCUAAAACACGGAAAGGCCUAUAGGAAGAGGGUGUGCAAAUUCAGAGUUACUGGACUUAAAGACACAUUUUUUGAAAGAUCUAAAAUAUCACUGAAAGACAUUCUUUAUUUGAUGUACUUAUUUAUAGAUAACAGAACAACUAUUAAAACGGCAAGUUUCGAAACUAAACUCAGUCCAGCAACCAUCAUAGAUUGGUAUAGUUUCAUGCGAGAUAUUAUUAUCAAUUACUGUGAAACAAAAUCAAGCAAACUCGGAGGUCCAGGAACAGUUGUAGAAGUAGAUGAAGCUGAAUUUGGCCAAAGAAAGUGCGACAAGGCAGAGGUUAGAGGAAACUGGGUGUUGGGGGGAAUUGAACGUGGAGGCAAGAAGAUUUUUUUGGUAACUGUUGGUGACAGAAGUGAAGAAACAUUGAUUGAAGUUAUUAAAGACUGGAUUUUAGAAGGAACAACAAUAGUAUCAGAUAGGCAGAGUUCCUUCAGGAACAUUUCUUUAGAAGGCUACUUUCAUCAGACUGGUGACAACCCCCAAAACUCAAAAGACUCAGAGUCUUCCACCAACACCAAUAACAUCAAACGUCUGUGGCGAGACGUCCGCAACGAGAUUCCAAAAUUUGGAGUAAGGGAAGAGCAUUUUGAGAGUUAUCUUGCCAAAGUUUUCUUCCGCAAAAUAUUUCCCGAUCAAGGUGAACGAUUCCAUCACUUUAUGCUAGCAACAGCUGCUCUCUACCCACCAUACAAAUAAGCCACUCUCACAUGAAGAAAACACAAAAAAUAUCUUCAAAGAUGAAACAAUGGGAACCAACAUUCCAAAACAGUUCAUUCCUGCUGCUGAAAAGGGAUUCAAAGCAAUCUGUGAUAAAGGUUCUCCUGAAUGACAUAUUUGGGUAUGCCACAGAACUGCAAUCCUCAACACAGGAAAAAGGCAAAUUUGCAAUGGAAUAUUCUUAUGGGCCAGCAAAAGAAGAAGUAUUGUAAUGGAAGAUCUUAUCAGUGAAUUUAUAUGUCCCAAAGAAAAUGCAAAGCCUUCAAAAAAAAGAGGCAGAAGAUAAAAUAUGAUAAAUAUUUAAAUGUCUUUGCUAAUUUUUAAGUAUGAAAGAGGUAUCAUCAACAUUGAUAUUUUAAGGCCAUUUUUCACACUUGCAUGGGUUAGCAAUGAUUACUUAAUGGGAGCUCUUCGUGCUGUAUUUUCUCAUGUAGCCUCUCUCCUCAGGAUUUCAAAUUUAAUAUAAUUUCUUACAGCAUCUUCCCAUGUCAUUAUUGGGCUGCCUCUGUCCUUAUUCCCCUCCACAUUUAGACUCACACAUCAUUUGGCCCAAUUUGUACCUCCAUUCUCUCCACAAACCCAAACCAUCUCAGCUUACCUCUAAGCAAAUCUUCACCAAUACUUUCAAUACCCAACCAUCUUCUUAGCUCUGACUAGAGUUGCCUAAAGGCUGAGCAGAUUAUGUGGAACCUUUGAAAUUUACUUGCUGGUAUUUUGUUUUUUUCCUUUGUCCUGACAAAUUUGAGAAGAAAUUUGUUUGUCCAGUUUUUUAAGGACAAAGCCAAAUAAACACCUUGAACCCUUCAAAUUUAGGCCCGCUUCAUGCAAGCAUUUUUGUCCCGCAUGGGAGAAGGCAUUUGUUCAUAUGGGCAUAUUUUUCAUGUUUAAUUUCACCUGCAUGUGACAAAAAUAAUCACAGGCACUUUCAGCUUAUCCUUGCCUUUAUUUUUACAGGACUGCAACAAUCUCGGUACAGAGUGCCUGUUUUGCCAUAUUCUUGGACUUUAAUUUUUACAGGUUGAUAUCUCUCCACUCUUUCACAACAUUUUCAAUUGGGUUAAUUUUCCAGUGAAGGUUUGAUUUUUUCUUUAACAAUAAUUUUCUUGUUCAUUUUAUUACAGUAUUUAUACAAUUAUAACUAAAUAAAUAUGUAAACUGCA